AUCCCAAUAGCUUAAUGGUAAAGCUUGAUUCUCCUAAAAUUAUUAUUCAAGUUCAAAUCUUGAUUGGGAUA
rfam:Hortaea werneckii EXF-2000 unitig_320 mitochondrial, whole genome shotgun sequence.